rnacentral:rRNA from 1 species
CCUACGGGAGGCAGCAGUGGGGAAUAUUGCUCAAUGGGCGAAAGCCUGACGCAGCGACGCCGCGUGCGGGAUGAAGGUCCUCGGAUCGUAAACCUCUGUCAGCAGGGAAGAACGGUCACUGUGCUAAUCAGCAGUGAAUUGACGGUACCUGCAAAGGAAGCACCGGCUAACUCCGUGCCAGCAGCCGCGGUAAUACGGAGGGUGAGAGCGUUAAUCGGACUUACUGGGCGUAAAGCGCUCGUAGGCGGUAUGGAAAGUCAAGGGUGAAAUCCCCGGGCUCAACGUGGGAACUGCCUUUGAAACUGGCAAACUGGAGUGUGUGAGAGGAUAGUGGAAUUCCAGGUGUAGGGGUGAAAUGCGUAGAUAUCUGGAGGAACAUCAGUGGCGAAGGCGACUAUCUGGCACAUAACUGACGCUGAGGAGCGAAAGCGUGGGUAGCAAACAGGAUUAGAUACCCGAGUAGUC